UAAGAAAAUUUAGCACUUCUUCUCCAGAGUUUUCCACAGUGCUGCGAUCCCACUGCAGUCAAGUCGAACGACUUCUUCCCUUCGAGCGACGACGGCUCUUCCCUAACACGCGGUGAACGACAACGACGUAUACGACAUCUAGCAGAUCUCUGGCCUCAAGCCUGUCUUUCUCUAUGCGUCGUCCCGCAGAUCUUCGACCUCAAGCCCUUCCCGCCGACCUCACAUGCUUCCAACUGAUUUCUCUCAUAGAUAUGCAAACAUACCUCGAAAAUUGUAAGUAUUUGGAUGGAGUACAUGAUAUAACAAGGAUGAUGGUGCAUUUUGGAAAACCAUUAACGCAUGUAAAAGCAUGCUAUACUGUUAUGCACUUUUACUACAACUAUACCGGGAACAGAAUGAAUUAAUGUCAUCAUAGAAGCUGCUAAAGAACGAUUUGGUGAUUCUCAAAGAAAAUAAGCAACAAGUUCUACGAGUUUGGUGAAGAGUAAGUGAAGAACAUUGAUAAUUAUGUAACUAUUUUUUUUUUCUUGAACAGGUGGACUUAUUGUUAGCAAGCACAAAUAAUGCAAUAUUAAUGAUACAGUCAGACCUGUACUGCAAAUUAGCUUGUUGUAACUUGUUGUAACUGGUUGCAUUUCUUUUCAGGGACUUUGUUUUAAGUUUGUAGUCAAAAUAC